rnacentral:rRNA from 1 species
GUUCAUGACUCAGGAUGAACGCUAGCUACAGGCUUAACACAUGCAAGUCGAGGGGCAGCAUGGACUUAGCUUGCUAAGUUUGAUGGCGACCGGCGCACGGGUGAGUAACACGUAUCCAACCUGCCGAUGACUCGGGGAUAGCCUUUCGAAAGAAAGAUUAAUACCCGAUGGCAUAGUUCUUCCGCAUGGUAGGACUAUUAAAGAAUUUCGGUCAUCGAUGGGGAUGCGUUCCAUUAGGUUG